rnacentral:rRNA from 1 species
UACGUAGGGUGCAAGCGUUGUCCGGAAUUAUUGGGCGUAAAGAGCUCGUAGGCGGUUUGUCGCGUCGGCUGUGAAAACCCGGGGCUCAACCCCGGGCCUGCAGUCGAUACGGGCAGGCUAGAGUUCGGUAGGGGAGACUGGAAUUCCUGGUGUAGCGGUGAAAUGCGCAGAUAUCAGGAGGAACACCGGUGGCGAAGGCGGGUCUCUGGGCCGAUACUGACGCUGAGGAGCGAAAGCGUGGGGAGCGAACAGG